rnacentral:rRNA from 1 species
GACGAACGCUGGCGGCGUGCUUAACACAUGCAAGUCGAACGGAAAGGCCCCUUCGGGGGUACUCGAGUGGCGAACAGGUGAGUAACACGUGAGUAACCUGCCCUUGACUUCGGGAUAACUUCAGGAAACUGGGGCUAAUACCGGAUAGGAAUCCUUGCUGCAUGGUGGGGGUUGGAAAGCUUCGGCGGUUUUGGAUGGACUCGCGGCUUAUCAGCUUGUUGGUGGGGUAGUGGCUUACCAAGGCUUUGACGGGUAGCCGGCCUGAGAGGGCGACCGGCCACAUUGGGACUGUGAUACGGCCCAGACUCCUACGGGAGGCAGCAGUGGGGAAUAUUGCACAAUGGGCGGAAGCCUGAUGCAGCAACGCCGCGCGCGGGAUGAAGGCCUUCGAGUUGUAAACCGCUUUCAGCAGGGGCGAAGCUUGUGGUCACGGUACCUGCAGAAGAAGCACCGGCUAACUACGUG